rnacentral:rRNA from 1 species
GAUGAACGCUGGCGGCGUGCCUAAUACAUGCAAGUCGAGCGAACAGACGAGGAGCUUGCUCCUCCGACGUUAGCGGCGGACGGGUGAGUAACACGUGGAUAACCUACCUAUAAGACUGGGAUAACUUCGGGAAACCGGAGCUAAUACCGGAUAAUAUAUUGAACCGCAUGGUUCAAUAGUGAAAGACGGUUUUGCUGUCACUUAUAGACGGAUCCGCGCCGCAUUAGCUAGUUGGUAAGGUAACGGCUUACCAAGGCAACGAUGCGUAGCCGACCUGAGAGGGUGAUCGGCUACACUGGAACUGCGACGCGCUCCAGCCUCCUACGGGAGCCAGCAGUACGGAAUCUUCCGCAAUGGGCGAAGGCCUAACGGAGCAACGCCGCGUGGGUGAUGAAGGUCUUCCGAUCGUAAAACUCUGUUAUUAGGGAAGAACAACUGUGUCAGUAACUAUGCACAUCUUGACGGUCCCUAAUCAGAAAGCCACGGCUCACUACGUG